GAUGAACGCUGGCGGCGUGCCUAAUACAUGCAAGUCGAGCGAACAGUCGAGGAGCUUGCUCCUCUGACGUUAGCGGCGGACGGGUGAGUAACACGUGGAUAACCUACCUAUAAGACUGGGAUAACUUCGGGAAACCGGAGCUAAUACCGGAUAAUAUAUUGAACCGCAUGGUUCAAUAGUGAAAGACGGUUUUGCUGUCACUUAUAGAUGGAUCCGCGCCGCAUUAGCUAGUUGGUAAGGUAACGGCUUACCAAGGCAACGAUGCGUAGCCGACCUGAGAGGGUGAUCGGCCACACUGGAACUGAGACACGGUCCAGACUCCUACGGGAGGCAGCAGUAGGGAAUCUUCCGCAAUGGGCGAAAGCCUGACGGAGCAACGCCGCGUGAGUGAUGAAGGUCUUCGGAUCGUAAAACUCUGUUAUUAGGGAAGAACAAAUGUGUAAGUAACUAUGCACGUCUUGACGGUACCUAAUCAGAAAGCCACGGCUAACUACGUG
rnacentral:rRNA from 1 species